rnacentral:rRNA from 1 species
AGAGUUUGAUCAUGGCUCAGAGCGAACGCUGGCGGCAGGCCUAACACAUGCAAGUCGAACGAACUCUUCGGAGUUAGUGGCGGACGGGUGAGUAACACGUGGGGAACGUGCCUUUUAGGUUCGGAAUAACUCAGGGAAACUUGUGCUAAUACCGAAUGUGCCCUUCGGGGGGAAAGAUUUAUCGCCUUUAGAGCGGCCCGCGUCUGAUUAGCUAGUUGGUGAGGUAAUGGCUCACCAAGGCGACGAUCAGUAGCUGGUCUGAGAGGAUGAUCAGCCACAUUGGGACUGAGACACGGCCCAAACUCCUACGGGAGGCAGCAGUGGGGAAUCUUGCGCAAUGGGCGAAAGCCUGACGCAGCCAUGCCGCGUGAAUGAUGAAGGUCUUAGGAUUGUAAAAUUCUUUCACCGGGGACGAUAAUGACGGUACCCGGAGAAGAAGCCCCGGCUAACUUCGUGCCAG